rnacentral:rRNA from 1 species
UACGUAGGGACCGAGCGUUGUCCGGAUUCAUUGUGCGUAAAGAGCUCGUAGGCGGCCACUCAAGUCGAAUGUGAAACCUCGAGGCUUAACCUCGAGCCUGCAUUCGAUACUGGGUGGUUAGAGUCUGGUAGGGGGAUCUGGAAUUCCUGGUGUAGCGGUGGAAUGCGCAGAUAUCAGGAGGAACACCGGUGGCGAAGGCGGGAUCCUGGGCCAGUACUGAAGCUGAGGAGCGAAAGCGUGGGGAGCAAACAGG